GGCGGGGCACCCGCUCCCUCCUGCACCUUCAAGGGUGCCUGUGUGCAGUCUGGUAGGUGAGGUGGCAAGGGCAGACUCGGGGAGGCCCCUGUCUACUGCGCGUUUAACUUCUGAGGACUCCUCCAGGGCUUUCCGCAGUGGUCAGCCACCCUGCAUUCUCAGGAGCAGCACAGCGGGCUCUUCCCUCCCGGCCUCACUGUGUCCAGCAGGCCUCAGCUCCUCCUGACACUGUGGCACGGGGAUUCAGCGUCACAAUGAACUGGGGGAAUGAGAAUCUCAUUCCGGAGCCCAAGAGUCCUCCUGCCGCAUCACCCUUGAGGGUUCCAUCUUCUGAUAUCCUCACAGUGAGCUGUUCCUUCCUGGCACUUGUAUGAGGAUCCGGACAUCUGCUUGCCAAGUUGAGAGAGGAGCUCAGCGAAGAUGCUUCUCCUUCAGCACCACGCACGCUUUGACCUCUGUGUCUGACCUUGCCCUCAAGCCUGGCAGCAGGAGGAGGCUGUCUUCAAGUUGUCUUCCUCAAAAUGGUGAAACGUAAGGAUAGCCAGAUCCCCCAUGAAGAAUGACACCACAACCACUUUCACUGAACAGGAGACGUAGAGAAAUGAGGGGAGAACUGAACAGCUGUGAUGCUUGGAGGACACCAUGAUGUGAGCAGCUUCCUUCCGCCAGGCCCUUCCACUGUGAUGUUCAUGCCUGCUGAUAAUGGACUAAAACUGUGGGCCAAAGUAAACCUCUCUGCUUUAAGUUGUGGGUGUCAGGUGAAAUCAUGCACUACUGAAUUCCUGAGGCACUUGAUGCUACCUAAGGGGAAAAGAGGAAGAUAAAUCAGAGAACAUUACUUUCGAUUUCAAAGACAUCUGAAAGGGCUUUGCAUGUGCUGCAUCCUCCGAGCCAGUGAAUGACAGACAUCGCCCUGGGGGGACAAAGGCAGAGAGAGAACACAGGUGCAGCCUCGUCACCAAGCAAGUGCCUCCUGGUGUCUCCAUCUUCACCAGAAGAUGGUCCGGGACUGUGGUCUGCUCCAGGGUGGUCCAUGGGCACUGUCAGCAAUGCCUCCCAGCAAACAUCCUUUAGAGGAGCAGUGCACAGAGACCCUGGCUUGGUGAUUGUUGCUGGAUGCCUGAAGUUCAGUGCACCCCAAAUGGCCUCCUCAGAGUGGCCAGCUCCACCCUCUCCUUGCACCCCAUGUGCUCAAGACCUGGCCUCCAACACAUCCCCAGAGUUUGAGGGCACGUAGGGCUUACAAGGAGCUUACUUCAUCUUUGGAAAUCGUGAUCUAUUAUCCAAUCUUUCUACUUCUUUAAAAAGGAAGAAAUCCACCCUAUAUAUCAAGUGAUCAGUGAUAGAUUAAGAUAGAAUAAUAGCUCGUUUAACUUGGUGGGAGAAUUUUCUCAGUAUUGCCUUCCUGCAUUCAGACUUUAAUGCAGAAACAGUGUGAAAAGUUGCAACCAGAGCUGCGUCCAUCAUACAGUACAAUCAUUUUUAUUCUUAAAUUUUGUGAAGGAUUCACACUGACCUGGCAAGUAUGAGAGCAUUUGUAAAAUGAAUUUAAAUGAGAUAGUGCAUUUUGUAAAGCGAUGAGAUUUAUACAGUGACAUAAUAUAAAAUACUAUGAUUAUAAUGUGAU